rnacentral:rRNA from 1 species
UACGUAGGGUGCAAGCGUUGUCCGGAAUUAUUGGGCGUAAAGAGCUUGUAGGCGGUUUGUCGCGUCUGCUGUGAAAUUUCGGGGCUCAACCCCGAACUUGCAGUGGGUACGGGCAGACUAGAGUGUGGUAGGGGAGACUGGAAUUCCUGGUGUAGCGGUGAAAUGCGCAGAUAUCAGGAGGAACACCCGUAGCGAAGGCGGCACUCUGGGCCGGAACUGACGCUGAGGAGCGAAAGCGUGGGGAGCGAACAGG